rnacentral:rRNA from 1 species
GACGAACGCUGGCGGCGUGCUUAACACAUGCAAGUCGAACGGAAAGGCCUGCUUUCCCUUGUGGAUUGCGGGUACUCGAGUGGCGAACGGGUGAGUAACACGUGAGUGAUCUGCCCCCAACUUGGGUAUAAGCCUGGGAAACUGGGUCUAAUUCCCGAUAGGACUGCAGGGUGGUGCCUGUGGUGGAAAACGAUUUUCUAGUGGUUGGGGAUGAGCUCGCGGCCUAUCAGCUUGUUGGUGGGGUAAUGGCCUACCAAGGCGGCGACGGGUAGCCGGCCUGAGGGGGUGGACGGCCACAUUGGGACUGAGAUACGGCCCAGACUCCUACGGGAGGCAGCAGUGGGGAAUAUUGCACAAUGGGCGGAAGCCUGAUGCAGCGACGCCGCGUGGGGGAUGACGGCCUUCGGGUUGUAAACUCCUUUCGACCGCGAGGAAGCCACCUGGUUGGAAGGGUGGUGACGGUAGUGGUAGAAGAGGCACCGGCUAACUACGUG